GUCCGGCAUAUCGCCGUCGUCCUGCUCCUGUCCCGGUGAAUCGACGGCAGCCGCGCCUCCUCACGGCCCAUCCCCUCUCGGUAUCUCUCUCUCUCUUCCUGCUCGCGGUGGGCAGUCACCCCGGCGACCACAGUGCCGCCGCGACGACCUCAACAGCACCGCUGCCUGCUCUUCUUUCUCCCCCUCGGCCGGUCGAGCAACGGCAUCCCGAAGGGCCGCCGCUCGUGCCGCUGCUUCCGCCGCGUCGCCGCCGUCUCUGCCGGA
rnacentral:lncRNA from 1 species